UACGAAGGGGGCUAGCGUUGCUCGGAUUGCCUGGGCGUAAAGGGCGCGUAGGCGGUUCGUACAGUCAGACGUGAAAUUCCUGGGCUCAACCUGGGGGCUGCGUUUGAUACGUGCGGACUUGAGUGCGGAAGAGGGUCGUGGAAUUCCCAGUGUAGAGGUGAAAUUCGUAGAUAUUGGGAAGAACACCGGUGGCGAAGGCGGCGACCUGGUCCGAUACUGACGCUGAGGCGCGAAAGCGUGGGGAGCAAACAGG
rnacentral:rRNA from 1 species